rnacentral:rRNA from 1 species
GACAGAGGGGGCAAGCGUUACUCGGAAUCACUGGGCGUAAAGGGCGCGUAGGCGGGAUGGCAAGUCAGUCGUGAAAUCUCUCGGCUCAACCGAGAAACGUCGGCUGAUACUGCCGUUCUUGAGGGAUGCAGAGGAGACUGGAAUUCCCGGUGUAGCGGUGAAAUGUGUAGAGAUCGGGAGGAACACCGGUGGCGAAGGCGGGUCUCUGGGCAUUUCCUGACGCUGAGGCGCGAAAGCGUGGGGAGCGAACAGG